AUCUAGGUAGUUUAAAUUAAAAUUUUAGUUUGUGGAGCUAUAGAUGGUUAUAUCCUCUUGAUA
rnacentral:tRNA from 1 species